rfam:Bombyx mori DNA, contig: Bm_scaf39_contig22716, strain: p50T/Dazao, build 2, whole genome shotgun sequence.
UUAGCUCAUAUUUGUAUGGAAUGAGAUCGUUUGCCUACGUUUGCCGCUAGGGGCGCUGUUCCAACUGCAUACAAAAUUGGGCUA